GCCCCGGUAGCUCAGUGGAUAGAGCGUCUGCCUCCGGAGCAGAAGGUCGCAGGUUCGAAUCCUGUCCGGGGCGCCG
rnacentral:tRNA from 1 species